rnacentral:lncRNA from 1 species
GAGCUGAGAUUGCACCACUGCACCCCAGCCUGGACGACAGAGUGAGACUCAAUAAUAAUAAUAAUAAAUAAUGAAGGGAAAGUUUUUUAGGGAGAGGGGCAAAUGAUAGUGAUCCUGGUAGGUUCUGGAAACUUCAAGGGGCUCAUUUUGCUUGGAGAGGGAGGAAAGUGGGGGUGGGGUGGGUGAAAAGUUGUUGGGAGACCGGGCGUGGUGGCUCAUGCCUAUAAUCCUAGCACUUUGGGAGGCCGAGGCAGGUGGAUCACUUGAGCUCAGGAGUUCGAAACCAGCCUGGCCAACAUGGUGAAUGUACAACGGACAGCCCCCAAUACAGACAGACAGACACACACACACACACACACACACACUCACUCACUCCUACCCCCAGCCCUAAGAAUUUACAAACACUGAUAAAGACAAAUGAAAUCAGCGGAUAUAGACUUCAAACGCCGUCAGACAGACACCCACUAGAUCAAACAGGGACAUUCCUAAACAUCACACAGACACAUCGCCAGGCAGUCCCACCGCAGACAGCCACAAAUUAAAGCCGCGCUUGCCCCCUGAUGGACAGCAGCAGUAGUGCGCCACCUCGAUAGCGCAAUCUCCCAGAGCGCUGGCAUUGCAGGCGUGAGCCAACGUCCGCAGCCAAACACGUUCAUAUUGUUGAGAAGGCAGAGAAAUACAAAGUAGGUGGAAGGGUCUCCACCUACAGCUGUUUUCUGUGGUCUGAGGAUUCUUCCCACGUCUUUAAUUUCUAGUGCUUUCUAGGGGUCUCAACUUGAACUAUUUAAUAUUUUCUGGAAGAGAAACAUUUUUUGUGGG